rnacentral:rRNA from 1 species
GACGAACGCUGGCGGCGUGCUUAACACAUGCAAGUCGAACGGAAAGGCCCUGCUUUUGUGGGGUGCUCGAGGGGCGAACGGGUGAGUAACACGUGAGUAACCUGCCCUUGACUUUGGUAUAACUUCAGGAAACUGGGGCUAAUACCGGAUAGGAGCUCCUGCUGCAGGGUGGGGGUGGGAAAGUUUCGGCGGUUGGGGAUGGACUCGCGGCUUAUCAGCUUGUUGGUGGGGUAGUGGCUUACCAAGGCUUUGACGGGUAGCCGGCCUGAGCGGGUGACCGGCCACAUUGGGACUGAGAUACGGCCCAGACUCCAACGGGAGGCAGCGGUGGGGAAUAUUGCACAAUGGGCGGAAGCCUGAUGCAGCAACGCCGCGUGCGGGAUGACGGCCUUCGGGUUGUAAACCGCUUUCGCCUGUGACGAAGCGUGAGUGACGGUAAUGGGUAAAGAAGCACCGGCUAACUACGUG